CGCUUUACAUGCAGAUAAUAUAAUUCCCAUACACGCGACAUAUAAAUUGCGUUUGAUUGUGUUUUCUUCAUGAGACUGUCAGUACCUUGCACUUUUCGGUAUUAAAUCGCAUUCUUCUAUUAAUGUUCCACGCUUCCAGUUGGUAAGGUACAGGUAGCUAUUCUUGUAAGGACUGGCAUUCAUCUACUGAUCUUAAUAUCUCUCUGUAUA